CCCCCUCCAAAUUGCUGUUGCGUCCUUCAAGAAUGUUUAAAUUUAAGAAAUAUGUUAAGAAACUGCUUCAUCCGACUGAUAAUAAGUGCAAAACAUGCAUGAACCAUCUUCGAACCAGUCUCAACAAAAAGAUGCUUCAACGUCCUAAUAAUCUCUUUCUUCUCUUGGCGACCUUCUUCAUAUUCUGGUCACGCUGGACUGUAAGCGGCGUCGUUUCAGAUCCACAGACCCACCUUCUGCACAGUGGAUGCAGCCCGUUCUACGAAUACUUCAUGUCCAACUUCUCGACGUUCAACGAAACCUUAACACAACGUUUAGAGAAGUCCAAGGGCAGAUCGUGACUCGCAACAAGUACUUCGCUACGGCGCAGCAAGGCGGCGGAAAUGACCCAGGUUCCACUCUUUUUCAGUGCAGAAAUUACCUCUCCAUCCCCGACUGUGCCGCCUGCUUCGAUGUGGUUUCCGUUCAGAUCCGCAACUGCUACGGCGGAGCACACGGUGCCCGUGUCGUCGACGACGGCUGUUUCCUCAGGUAUGAGACAAGUGCUUUCUUUGACCAAACGACAGCGACUUUUAAUGCCGUUUCAUGUGGUGGGAAUCAGACUAAAGGAGAAUCCUCUACAUUUACUUCAUCUGUGCAACAAGUGUUAAUGAAUCUCCAAACGACAACACCAACCAUCACUGGCUUUCAUGCAGCUACCAAAGCCCAAGUGCCUAAUAAUGGUCCAAUUAUAUAUGCCUUUGCUCGAUGUAUUGAAACUGUCACACAGAGUGGUUGCUUCAAUUGCUUAAACGCAGCGUCUAGCGAUAUGCCAACUUGUCUUCCCAAUUCAGAUGGUAAGGCUUUUGCAGAUGGGUGUUUCAUGAUAUACUCCACCACCUCCUUCUUUCCUGGUAACCAGACCAUCUCUAUCACACCCUUGAAGAAACAAGGUUCAAGCAAGAAAGGGUAAAUUACUGGUGUUGUUGUUGGAGGUGUAGCUUUUCUUCUGAUCCUUUUUGCUUCAUUUGCCUGGUUCUGACGACCAAAAACUUCUAAGAGAGUUCCUACAGAAGAAGAGAUAACUGGAGCAAGCAAGUUAAACCGCCCAAUUACUUACAGUUAUAAGGAUUUGAUGUUGGCAACCAAGAAUUUUAGAGAAGAAAAUAAACUUGGAGAAGGAGGGUUUGGCGUUGUAUACAAGGGUACUCUGAAAAGUGGGAAAGUAGUUGCAAUCAAGAAAUUAAAUUUUCGCCAAUUCACAAGGAUGGAGGAAGAGUUUGAGAGUGAAGUGAAUUUGAUACGUAAUGUUCAUCAUCUAAAUCUUGUUCGACUUCUAGGAUGUUGCAGUAAAGGACAAAACAGAAUUCUUGUCUAUGAAUACAUGAAAAAUAAUAGUCUUGACAGGUACCUAUUUGGUAAAGAGAAGGGUUCUCUCAACUGGAAGCAAAGGUGUAACAUAAUUUUAGGAACAGCAAAAGGGUUGGCUUAUCUACAUGAGGAGUUUCGUGUUUGUAUCAUACAUAGAGAUAUAAAGACUAACAACAUCCUUUUAGAUGAUAAUAUACAGUCUAAAAUUGCUGAUUUUGGAUUGGCGAGGCUUUUGCCUAAGGAUAAAUCUCAUCUCAGUAUAAAAUUUGCAGGAACAUUGUAAGUCAACAUAAUAUGUUUAAUUUUCUAAACCUCUACUACUGUAUAUAAAUUAUUGAAGAUAAAAUCUAUGUACAAGUCAAU